CGACCCCAGGUCAGGCGGGACUACCCGCUGAGUUUAAGCAUAUCAAUAAGCGGAGGGAAAAGAAACUUACUAGGAUUCCCUUUAGUAACGGCGAGCGAACCGGGAACAGCCCAGCUUGAAAAUUCGGGCGGCUUUCGUUCGUCCGAACUUGUUACGUCGUGGAGAAGCGUCCUCAGCGGCGGACCGGGCCCAAGUCCCCUGGAAGGGGGCGCCGGAGAGGGUGAGAGCCCCGUCUGCCCGGACCCCUGCGCACCCACGAGGCGCUGUCUGCGAGUCGGGGUUGUUUGGGAAUGCAGCCCAAUAGGGCGGUAAAUUCCGUCCAAGCGCUAAAUACUGGCGUGAGACGAUAGAAAACAGUACCGCGAGGAAAGAUGAAAAGGACUUUGAAAAGAGAGUCAAAGAGUGCUUGAAAUUUGUCGGGGGAAAGCGAAUGGGGGCCGGCGAUGCGUCCGGUCGGAUGUGGAACGGUGUAAGUCGGUGCCGCCGAUCGGCUCGGGGACGUGGGGACCGGUGCGGAUUGUCGGCGGCCCAAAGCCCAGGCUGGUUGAUAAUCGCCUGUGGGGAGAUGCGUAAUGUAGCCCGAUCCAGUAGGUUUGGGCAGCCCGCGUCUCAGCCGGUCUACGGCGUGCUUCCAACCUGCGUAGCUCCUGCCAACCGGCCUAGCGGCACCCCAUCUCCGGACACCGUCUUGAAACACGGGACCAAGGAGUUCUGACAUUGUGUGCGAGUCAACGGGUAGAUGUAAACCCGCAAGGCGCAAGAAGCUGAUGGGCGGAUCCCCCUCUGGGGUGCACGCGACCGACCUUGAUCUUCUGAGAAGGGUAUCGAGUGUGAGCAUGCUGUCGGGACCGAAAGAUGGUGAACUAUGCCUGAGCGGGGCGAAGCCAGAGGAACUCUGGUGGAGGCCCGCAGCGAUACUGACGUGCAAAUCGUUCGUCUGACUUGGGUAUAGGGCGGAAAGACUAUCGAACGUUAGUGUGGUUCCUCCGAAGUUUCCUCAGGUAGCUGGAGCCGGGUGCGGUUUAUCGGGUAAAGCGAUGAUUGAGGCAUCGGGGCGCAAGCCUCGACUAUUCUCAAACUUUAAUAGGUAGGACGGGCGGUGCUUUGUUGAGCGCGCCGGAAUCGAGAGUCAAGUGGGCUUUUUGGUAAGCAGAAUGGCGAUGCGGGAUGACCGGAAGGGGUUCGGUGCCAAACUGCGCGUAACUAGACCCAAAGGGUGUUGGUCGAUUAGAGCAGGACGGUGGUAUGGAGUCGAAUCCGCUAAGGGUGUGUAAAUCACUGCGAUCAACUAGCCCGAAAUGGAUGGGCUUAGCGCGCGACCUACCCGGCGUCGAGGCAGUGCGGCCCGAUUGUAGGAGGGGCGGCGGUCGCUGCAAACUUGGGCGUGAGCCGGGCGGAGCGGCGUCGGUGCGGUUUUGGUGGUAGUAGCAAUAUUCAAUGAGAACUUUGAAGGCCGAGAGGGGAAGGUUCAUGUGAACGGCAUUGAAUGGGUUAGUCGAUCCUAAGGACGGGGGAAGCCGUCGUAGCGUGUUUCCGCGAGUUCGAAAGGGAAUGGGGUUAAAUUCUGACGGGACGUGGCGGUGACGGGACGUUAGGAUUCCGGAGCGUCGCGGGGGCUCGGAGGUUAUCUUUUCUGUUUAAGCCUGCCACCUGAACGACUCAGUCGGAGGUAGGUCAGCGGCUGGAGGACGCACGUCGGCGGUGUCCGGUGCGCCCCGGGGCCUUGAAUCCGGAGGACGGUGCCUCCACGCCGGUCGUAUUACGAUAGGUCUCCAGGUGACAGCUCUGGUCGAUGGAACAUGUAGGCAGGGAGUCGGCAAUGGAUCGUAAUCGGGAAAGGAUUGGCUUGAGGGUGGGACGGGGGUCUGUCCGAACCGUCGGUGUCCGGUGGAUGCUCGAGCUGCUUCCGGCGGAGGCGGGUACGGUGCGGGGGGGACGGACUGGGACGGCCUUUCGGGGCUUCCCGGGGUCGAAGCAACUCGAACUGGUACGGACAAGGGGAAUCCGAUGUUUAUUAACAGCUUGCGAUGGUCCUGCGGUGCUAGCAUGUGAUUUUGCCAGUGUUGAUGUCCAGUGAAGAAUUACAGGCGGGUACGGGGAGUAACUAUGACUUCUUAAGGUAGCAAUGCUGUAUUAAUUGUGGCGAUGAAUGGAUUAACGAGUUCCCUGUCUGUUAUAUCAGCGAACAGCAAGGGAAGGGUUGGCGAAUAGCGGGGAAGAGCCUGUUGGUUGACUGUCGACUUUGUGAAUGAUUGAGAGGUGUAGUAUAGUGGGGCCUGGGGAAGUGAAUCCUAUUUUACGUUAUUUUAUUUUCGUGAUCGGAGGGGGCAGCCUCUUUUUGGACAAGGCGCUCGGGGGUCCGAUCGGGCGGAGACUUGUAGGUGGGGGUUUGGUGGGGCGGAAUUGUUAAAGAUAGCAGGUGUCUAGAUGGUCAGGAAGAAUUCGUGUGAAGAGGGUAAAGUGUUUGAUUUGAUUUCCAGUACGAUACGACGUGAAGCGUGGUAAGUCUUUAGCUUCGGAUUUGAAGUAGAGGUGUCAGAAAGUUACAGGGAUACUGGUUGUGGAGCAGGUUCUGCGACGUUGCUUUUUGAUCUUCGAUGUGGUUUCUAUCAUUGUGAAGCGAUUACAAGUGUUGGAUUGUUCACCCAUAGGGAGUGAGUGGGUUUAGACGUGUGGAGGUUAGUUUUACUAUGUGAUAGUGUCGAUGUAUUACUAGUACGGAGGACGUUGAUUCGCAUUGGUCAUGCGCUUGGUUGAAAGCAGUGGGCGAAGUACGUGCGUGGAUUUGAUGAACGCUCUAAGUAGAUCGGGCUAGAGCGAGGUGUGCCGUCGCUGUUUGCGACGCAGUAGGGGCUCGGCCCAAGGAGUGUGUAGGCUAAGCUGGUGGGGCGAGCGCGCGGGCGCUUGAAGUACAUUCAUCAGCGACGGGUAGAUCUUUGCAGAGAUUAUAGUGACGGGGUAUUGUAGUGGCGAGUGGCUUGUGCCGAUCCAUGAGAUUCAGCCUGGUCGUCAGAUUGU
rnacentral:rRNA from 1 species